rnacentral:rRNA from 1 species
ACCGGCGCACGGGUGAGUAACACGUGAGUGACCUGCCUUUUAGACUGGAACAACUUACCGAAAGGUGAGCUAAUGCCGGAUGAGUUAUAUAAGUGCAUGUUUAUAUAGGAAAAGUUGGGGAGACCUGACGCUGAAAGAUGGACUCGCGUCCCAUUAGCUAGUUGGUAGGGUAAUGGCCUACCAAGGCGACGAUGGGUAGCCGGCCUGAGAGGGUGGCCGGCCACACUGGGACUGAGACACGGCCCAGACUCCUACGGGAGGCAGCAGUGGGGAAUUUUGCGCAAUGCUCGUAAGAGUGACGCAGCGACGCCGCGUGAAUGACGAAGGCCUUCGGGUCGUAAAGUUCUUUCGACAGGGAAGAAAAUGCCUAUAAGUAACUGUGUAUGUAUUGACGGUACCUGUAUAAGCAGCCCCGGCUAACUCCGUGCCAGCAGCCGCGGUAAUACGGAGGGGGCGAGCGUUGUUCGGAGUGACUGGGCGUAAAGAGCACGUAGGCGGUGUUGUAAGUCAUUAGUCAAAGACUAGAGCUCAACUUUAGUAAGGCUAGUGAUACUAUAAUACUAGAGUAUCAGAGAGGAUUGCAGAAUUCCUGGUGUAGCGGUGAAAUGCGUAGAUAUCAGGAGGAAUACCGUUAGCGAAGGCGGCAAUCUGGCUGGAAACUGACGCUNAGGUGCGAAAGCGUGGGUAGCAAACAGGAUUANAUACCCUGGUA